rnacentral:lncRNA from 1 species
CUUCAACGUGCCCUGUCAACUUGAAAACACAACAACUUUAAAGUUGGGUGUAUAAUUGCUAUAUAAGAUUUUGUGCAUAUGGUGAUAAAAAAGGUCCAAUUAGAAGCAUCCUAUCUUUUAGAACAAAGUAGUAGAGUUUUCAAACCGAUUAAGAAGUAGCGAUUUCUUUUAUGCUAUUCAGGCUAAGAUGUCAAACUGCCAAAGUCAAUGGCCGCAUGGAAUGUUAGAGCUCUAGAAAUGACUUCCUGAUGCUGCCAUUGCGGUUAAGGCUUUAAAGUCCAUGGACACAUGACAUGUCUCAAGAAAAUGCAACCAUCCCCAGAAACACCAGCUAACUCUCAGGUAAUAAUUAAUUAACAUACAAAAUUGAAAGAUUGAGGCUACAAGUACUCAUCGUAUUGGAUGAGAAAUUUUUGUAUGUUCUGGUACUCAUCCUAUUGAACAUACAAAAAUUUCUCAACAGAAUUUCAUCCUUAUUGGUACAUCUUUUAUCAAGCUUUUGGACAAGAG